GAUGAACGCUGGCGGCGUGCCUAAUACAUGCAAGUCGAGCGAACAGACGAGGAGUUUGCUCCUCUGACGUUAGCGGCGGACGGGUGAGUAACACGUGGAUAACCUACCUAUAAGACUGGGAUAACUUCGGGAAACCGGAGCUAAUACCGGAUAAUAUAUUGAACCGCAUGGAUCAAUAGUGAAAGACGGUUUUGCUGUCACUUAUAGAUGGAUCCGCGCCGCAUUAGCUAGUUGGUAAGGUAACGGCUUACCCAGGCUACGAUGCGUAGCCGACCUGAGAGGGUGAUCGCACACACUGGACGUGAGACACGGUCGAGACUCCUACGGGGGGCCACAGUAGAGAAUCUUCCGCAAUGGGCGAAAGCCUGACGGAGCACCGCCGCGUGAAUGAUGAUGUUCUUCGGCUCGUAAAGCGCUGUUAUUAGGAAAGAACAAAAGUGUAAGUAACUAUGCACGUCUUGACGGUACCUAAUCAGAAAGCCACGGCUAACUACGUG
rnacentral:rRNA from 1 species